rnacentral:tRNA from 1 species
GAAGUUUUAGUUUAGAAAAACGUUGGACUGUCAGACCAAAAACAUAGGUUAAAUUCCUAUAAGCUUCG